rnacentral:rRNA from 1 species
UACGUAGGGUGCGAGCGUUGUCCGGAAUUACUGGGCGUAAAGGGCGUGUAGGCGGGAAGGCAAGUCGGGCGUGAAAUCCCCAGGCUCAACCUGGGAACUGCACUCGAAACUGCCUUUCUUGAGUGCCGGAGAGGAAAGCGGAAUUCCUGGUGUAGAGGUGAAAAUUCGUAGAUAUCAGGAGGAACACCAGUGGCGAAGGCGGCUUUCUGGACGGUAACUGACGCUGAGACGCGGAAAAGCGUGGGGGAGCAAAACAGGG